AGGGCCAUAUCAUGUUGUAACACCAGUUCCAGGACGAUCACCGAAGUUAAGCAAUGUUGAGCCUGGUGACUACCUAGAUGGGUGACCGCUUGGUAAUACCAGGUGCUGUAA